AAGAGGGUUUUGGAUCAUGGCUCAGGGCGAACGUUAGCGGCGGGCCUAACACAUGCAAGUCGAACGAGAACGCUCCUUCGGGAGUUAUUAAAGUGGGCGCACGGGUGAGGAACGCGUAGGUAAUCUACCCUCCGGCGGGGGACAACACUUUCCGAAAGGAAGUGCUAAUACCGCGUAAGACCACGCCCACUGCGGUGGAAGUGGUUAAAGACGGCCUCUUCUUGAAAGCUGUCACCAGAGGAUGAGCCUGCGUCCCAUCAGCUUGUUGGUGAGGUAAUGGCUUACCAAGGCGAAGACGGGUAGCUGGGUCUGAGAGGGAUGAUCAGCCACACUGGCACUGGAACACGGGGCCAGAACUCCUACGGGGGAGGCAAGCAGUGAGGAAUUAUUGGGGCAAUGGGCGCCAAGCCUG
rnacentral:rRNA from 1 species